UUCUCUCUAAAUCUCUUCAUUCCCUCUCUAUAUUUCAAUUCUCUCUUCUCUCUCUAUUGUGCCACUACCAGAGCACUAGCCGGGUUAGGCUUACAACACAUCCGAUCGGUCAACAUCUUUGAUCUGUAGUCACUAAAGGAAAAACACGUAGCAACACAGCACUAUGAGAGACGACAUGCUAUUCGUAGAUCUACUUCAUUCGUAGAUCUACUUCAGUUUUCUACCGUUAAGCCUUCGACUGUGGUGUCGCCAUCAUAGCUAGAGAAAGGCUAGGCCAAGCAGAAAUAAUCGAUGGAGAAGAGGAAGACGAAGAAGACGACUUGAAAGUGGCUAGAGUUAGCUGGAAUAAAGCUGACGGAAGCCGCCAAGCAUUCUAGUUUUUGGAUCUGAUCUGAGCGCGAUUGCACACAACCAACGGCGUUUUGGUUGUGGUGAUGGCAAGGUGACUCGAUCUGAUUUGUUGGUUUUUUUAGUGGUGGUUUUAUUGGAUCUUGUUGUUAGUAAUGGUGGUGGGUGGUUUGUUUGUGCUUGUGGCGGUGGCGGCGGUGGCGACAAUAGUUUUAUUGGUGGUUGGGUGACGACUUUGUUGAUUUUUGGAUGGCGAUUUUGUUGGUGUUUAGGAAGCGACUGGUGUGCCUGCGAUCUCGUGUUUGGGCGGCAGUGUUGGAUCUUGGUGGUGGGGAUAGUGGGCGUGGUUAUGUUGGUGGUUAUGAUGGUGAGGUGAUGGUUUUGACAUUGGAAAUGGUAGUUUGUGAGAGGUGGCGAUGAUGAUGGUGAUGACGAUGGUGGCGCUGAUAGUCGUGGUGAGGUGGAACUGUUUUUUUUUUUUUUUUUUUACAAGGUGUCCGGGCUUGUGUCCAACUAGAUCCUUGUCCCUGAACCUCCGGCCCCUCAGCAGCUCAGGGAGGUAAAUCGCAGGAUGUGCCCUUGUUGGCUCCCAGGUUCCCACAACUCAUUUGGACUCCUUCCGCAAAGAGAGCUCUCCUCGCUGGGCGUUUGUUCAACCAAAUGGCUUCCCCUCCAUUUUAGCACCCAGUGUUAACUCCAGGAAUCGAACUCUCCACCCUUGCUUCCAGCGUCCCAGCGAAGUGAUUGUUCCACCAACUCGGAUGUGCCCUGGGGGGCUGAGGUGGAACUGUUUUUGGUUGGUGCCAUGGUGGAUUGAGGUUGAAUGGGGUCGAUGGUGGGACCAAGAGUGUCUGUGACCAAUUAUUUGAUAUUGGGAUCAAUAAAUUGGAUAUUUUGUGAUCAAUAAAUAAUAUGUGAUCUAAAAUUUUGAAUCAUGACCAAUAAAAAAAUUGUGAUAUAUAAACUUUUUUAUUGCAAUCGAUGAAUAAAUUGUGACCUAUAAUUUUUU
rnacentral:lncRNA from 1 species